UUACGCACCAACGAAAAUUUCACGUUUUACUCUUCCCUCUCAAGUUCAUUUGGCAAAUCUGAAAUUUUUUCACCAAAACCCUAAACACAAAUCAUUCCAAAAUCAAAAUCUGAUAAACUCAUUACUUCAAUUUCUUCUUCUCAAACUCUCAAACUCAGAAAUUGUAGAAAAUUUCACCUAAAACCAUAAACCCUAAAAUCACGAAGAGAGCUUCUUCGACCUAGAUCUUUUCUUUAUUCAUCUCGACAGCUGUUUUUGCCAUUAAAGUGUUCACCCUCAGCCGUACAGCUGACCAACCUUUGUUGUUUGCAGGAAAACCACAUCUCACCGUUCAACAUUCGCAUACCAGACGCGUUGAAAAAAAAUUCACAGGUUAAUAUCUUUAUUUUGAUUCCAUCUCUCUAGUCGGUUUUAGCUUUCGUAUUCAUGAUUGUUUGAAUUUAUGUGUUUUCACGUACCCUACAUGCACACGGUGGAACUGUCUACUUAGUUUUUUUUAAAACUUUUUUCUAAAAUAAGUGACAAAGGGUUGGUUGUCAAAUUUUCUACUAAUAAUAAUUAAAUCAAGAAGUAAAUAUGAAUGGGUGAACAAAAAUUGAAAUGAAAAGUGAUCUAGAGGGUGGAGAAUUAAGAGAAGAAAAGGGGUACGGGGACUUUUUGUGUUUGAUUGAGUAAAAAUGUAUUAGAAAGAUGACACUGUAAAGUUUGUUGUUUUUGCAUUGAAGAAAGGCUCUUUUUGAAUCCUUUUUCUAUUCCAUUUUAGCUAAAACUUGAAUAAGUUACUGAGUUAGUAUAAUUUUCGAUACAUGUUUCGUUCCAAAGGUAUAAUAUCUCUAAGGUGAGAGAGUGGGUAACUGAAUUGAUUUGAAUAAAUGUUCAACUCUGGAACAUUGUUUUUGCAAUUCAAGUAAAACUAUGGUGGCCCACAGAAAGAAGGAUAAUCGUCGCCAUUGAAAGGGAUGGAAAGGUUUGUUAUAGUGCCACAAUUGAAGGUGAUGUUGUUUUACGUUUCUUGGAACGGGCAUGAACCUUCAUCUAGCAAAGUAAUUAUUAAUAUUAACAAUGCUUUUUAUGCUUGUAGUGUUAUUGUGAUUAUUUCUCUCCAAAGCCUUGGAAGCUUGGAUUGGCUGGUUAAGAGCUUUGGAGGUCCGGUUCCUCAUAAACCUGCUUAGAAUUUGGCAUUUUCAAUUGCAAAUUUUAUACAGAAAGUAUCAUGGCGGAAUAAAUUUUGGAAGAACUGGUGGUGGUCCCUUUAUCGCCACAAGUUAUGAUUAUGAUGCACCUCUUGAGGAAUAUGGUACGCUCUAAACUCUAAACCCUAAAUCCUAAACCCUAAACCCUAAACCCUAAACCCUAAACUGAUUCAAUAGUGUAACAGAUAGUUAUUUUUUUCUCACCCAAAUCAGAAUACUCUAUAUGGUUUAGGUAUUGAAUUUGGCCAAACACAACCCAAAUUGUGACACCCUUAACCUUAAAAAAUUUAUAAAUAAAUAUUUAAAAUUUUUUGUGGAUCUUCGUUGAAAAAUGAAAUACGAGUUUAAAAAUGUCUUUUUGAGAGGUUAAAAAUAUCACUUUGUAAAAGCACAUAUUUUUAUCACUAGUAUCAUGAAAUAAAAUAAUAUAAAUUAUACUCAAUAAUUGUUAUACAAAUAAUCUUUUAAAAAUAUUAUAUGGAUACAAAUCUUUGAAAUGAAAUUUAUAACAAAAGAGACAUGGUAACAACCUAACCUAUAUGUCACUAUAUAGAGUUGUAUCUCAUAUCGGCGUAUGACAAGUCCAACCGACAAGUAAAAUAAUACGUAAAUAAAGGUCAAGUAGUAAGCCUCUACUCCAUCCUCUUGAUAGAAAACUAAUCUUCACUUUCAUAAAUGAUAUUCAUAUUUAUCUGAACAUAAAUAAAAAUAUAGAAGAAGAAGACACAAAAGAAAAGGGCGAGAUACAUUUCAUAUAAUAUUAAGUGGUAAAAUAAUAUAAGUGAAUUGAAACACAACAUAAACAUACACCAAUAGUUUAAAUAUACACACAAUUAAUAUCGCAAUCACACAACAUUACCCAUAAUCAUACCACAUUAUCCAGAGUUUCAUGACUUUACAAAAUUUACACAUGAAUGCUUAUCUAACGCACAUCUCCUCUACUCCAACGAAUGUGGUACUAUCAAUGAACUUAUAGCUCAUUUUAUCGAUUUCUAAUAGAUUAGAAGGAUAGAUGAGCUACGUCCUGCACUACAAUACUCUCCUAGACGUUCAUAGACAAGUAACGUCUAAAAGUACAUGCGAGCUAUGUACGUACUACAACACCCUUCAUUUAGGAGUAGAUAUGAGCUAUGUUCGUACUGUAACACUCUCUCAGACGUCCGUAGAUAUGCAAUGCCUAUAGUAUAUGCAAGUUAUGUCAUACUACACACUAUCACUAGAAGAUACCUACUCCGAUAUAUAUGAUGCAUAAAAAAACAAGAAUUCCAUCCGAACCUCUAAAACAUAAAUACUCCCUCCGUCUCAUAAAAAAUGGAGGGAGUAAUACACUGGUUCUUAUUUAACUUCCAACAUAAUUCAAUACUGGUUCUUAUCAAACCUUCAACACAAUGAAACACUUGCUCUUAUCGAACCUUCAACAUAAUCAAACAUUGAUUCUUAUCGAACCUUCAACAUAAUUGACACAUUAGGCCUUCACAAGUACUAUAUGAAACACUGGACUUACGUCCGAAAGGUAUUCACACAAUCAUUCAUCAUAGAUAACUUGGUUCAUAACAACAUCUUAUCAAAAGGUUGGACUCAUGUCCUACAACAAUAUACAACAUUAUACAACUAUUCAUUAUUUACAUCAUUAUUCAAACAUAUAAGCAUCUUGAAGCAUUUACCCUUUGAUUGGUCUACACAUUAGCUUUCUAAUGCAUCCGACCCCACCUUAAUUGGAGCAACCAAACUCAAAUUAUGUCAAUUUUAGUUAUACCUCAUACUAAGAACAACAACAACUAUGGCCUGGCCGUAGUUAAUGCUAAGAUUGUAGUAACACAAAACAUGCGUUACCUUAUAGAAAGCAGAAACAACUACGUCUGGCCAUAGCCAGAACUCAAAAUUAUGUAUUUUGGUUCCUUUUCUUCAAACAAAAUCCUCCCUAACAUGUUUGUUUACUCAACUCAAGACUCAUAAAAACAUUAUAGCUACAAAAUUAAAUAACAUAACACAUCACAAUAUCAUUUAAACAUAAAGUCCUAAAUUAAAAUCCUCAAACCAUAUUUUUAUCCUAUAUUUGCUAAGCAUUGUCAAACUCAUUACAUAAUAAUUUUACAACUUAGAGCUAACAUCAAUUUGACUUCAUUAUCUACUAGAUAAUAUAUUUUCUUUUUCCAAAUAAUCAUAUACUAACAAAUAUUCAAAAUCUAAAGUUUACUUUCUUCAAAGCAAUUUCUAAAUGAUGAAUUAUAAUUCAUCUAUUAGUCUAAUACAUUAUAAUUUUUUUUAUACAUUAUACUCCAACAUACAAAUCGACAAUCACACGUUCAAACACUAUCCUUCACGAAAGUUAUCCCCACGAACACACAAGAGAAUAAAAUAAAUCAUUAAAAAUAUAUAUCAUUAAAAAACUAAGUUUGAACCGGGGUCGGCCAAUCCCUCUACCCACAACCAUUAUCACACCCAUGAGUAAAAUAAUCUCCACCUUUACCUCGAAUGAAGUUUUUACACGACAUAAGGAACCGAGCAAUGACCAUGAGUACAAAUACUUUUGUACUGUUCAAAAAAUUACAGGUGUGUGUGUGUGUUCUCCCUACAAGGGUAACAAGACUUAGAGGACCUGGUAUGUAUAUUACAUUUUUAGGGGUGAGGGCUAGUCAUGUAUAGAGGUUUUUUAGGCCGUUUUAGGAACCAACUCACGUGAGGUGAGAGGUCCUGUUGUUGGUCGGCGCUGCUAGACAGAUCAAUUUGUAGUGAUCUUUAUAGACAAAAUCUUAAUCUAAUCCUACACACCUAAAGAGCACAUGGAGCAUUUGAGGAUUGUGUUAUCUGUUCUCUGAGAGAAGCAAUUUUUUACAAAGUUUAACAAGUGUGAGUUUUGUAUUUCCAAAGUGAGAUUUCUUGGUCAUGUAAUAUCUGGAGGAGGUGUAGUUGUAGAUCCAUCAAAGUUAGAGGCGAUAAUCAAUUUGGAGAGACUAAAGAAUGCAUAUGCAGUCCGGAGUUUCUUGAGUUUAGCAGGUUACUAUCGAAGGUUUAUUAUGGGAUUUUCUAAGUUGGCAUUAUCGUUAACGAAACAUAAUAGGAAAGAGGUUACUUUUAGAUGGGAAUCCAAGUGUGAACAAUGUUUUUUGGAAAAUAAAGAAGAAUUUAACCACCGUUCCGCUAUUAGUAAUUCCAAAUCUAAAUCAGCCAUAUGAAGUAGGGCUUGGAUGGGGUACUUAUGCAAAAUGGGCAGGUUGCGACCUAUGCAUCUUGACAGUUUAGACGUCAUGAGGAAUGCUAUCCUACCCAUUAUCUUGAACUUUAUACUAUUGUCUUCACCCUCAAGGUGUGGCGACACUACUUGUACGGAGUUCACUUAGAGGUGUUUAGUGAUCAUAAGAGCAUGUAGUAUCUCUUAGAUCAGAAGGAACUAAAUAUGUGUCAGAGAAGAUGGAUGGAGUAUCUUAAGGACUAUGACUUUGAGUGAAGUAUUAUCCAGAAAAGGCUAAUAAGUUGGUUAAUGCCUUGAGAAGAAAAGAAAUGUACGCCACUGAAUUGAUGGUACUAGAGCAUGAUUUAAUGGAGAAAUGUUGAUAUCUUGAUCUCCUAUUUAUGUGGAUCCCGAAAUGUGUGUUGAUUAGUAACUUAAGUAUCAAAAGUGAUUUGAGAGAGAGAAUUUGUAAGACCCAAUGGUCUGAUGUAUAAUUACAAGCCAACGAAGACCUUCCUGAUUUUGUUCGAGCCCCUGAUGGAGUCCUUCUCUUUAAAUAAAGGAUUUGCAUACCCAAUGACUCUGAGUUAAGAAAAAUGAUCUUGGACGAAGCCUAUCAGAGCAAUUCUCUAUUCACCUUGGUUCGUCGAAGAUGAAUCAGGAUUUGAAGAAGAACUUCUGGUGGCCUGGUAUGAAGAAAGACAUUGCGACGUAUGUGGCACAAUGUGUUAUUUGUCAGCAAGUGAAGAUAGAGAACUAGAGAUCAGGCGGUAUGUUAUGUAACACCCCAUAAUUUCAGUUUAUUAAUUUAAUUUGGAUUUAAAUUAAAUAAUUGGAAUUUUAUAAUUUUAAAUUGGAUUUAAUUGGAAAAUGAUGGAAUAUGAGAUAUUGGGCUUAUGGUGUGGUGAUAGUAAAAGGGGGGGGGGUGCUAACUAGUUAGGCCUUUUACUAAGUUGUGAUAUUUUUAUUUUAUUUUAUUUUCAUAAAAUAAGAGAGAAAGGAACCAUUUGGGGAGAAAAGAAGAACACGUGAAAAGAAGAGAAGAGAAAGAGGCAAGAACGUGAAACCGGAAGGAGAGCAUUCAAGAGAUUCAUCGAGAUUGAAGAGUAGCGGCAUUAGUGCUCGGUAUUCAUGCUUAUUGGAGCUUCGAGGAAUAAAGUGUCGAAGGCACGGCUCCGAUUGCGCGAUUUUGGAUCAAAUAAGCAAGUUUUGUGCAGAGAGCGCCGCUGAGCGGCGUGUAAGCGCGCUUUCCAGGGGCGAACCAAAUUUCCCUGGCCGCUAAGCGGCGGGUCUUGCCGCUAAGCGGAGGCCUGUUUACUGUUCUUGAUAUUUUUGUAAUACGUGUAGUCCGCUAAGCGAGAUUUGGCCGCUAAGCGGCCGUAGCAGAAAUUAUGUUUAUAUUCUUUCAUUUGAACCAUUUUAGGGUUAUGGUUUUGGAGAGUUUUUGGUUCCAACUCCAUCAUUUUCAUUCUUAGAUUAGGAUUAGCUUAGAAAACAACACCGGGUCAUGCACUUGGAAGAUCGGAGGUGGAUUUCUCAUCAACCGGAGCUGACAACCCGCGAGAUGUUUGGUUUAUCUUCUCUAUUCUCUGUGUAUUUCUUUUGUGUUGGGUUUGUUUGUAUAUUUACUUGAAUCUUAUGUAUAUUUACCGAUUAUAAUGUUAUGUUUAACUUGCUUUACAAAUCUGUGUUGAUAUUGUUCUGGAUUUUUGCUCUAUGCUGGGGAUUUGGGUUGCUUUAGAGAUAAACUGCUUGAAUCUUUAUCUAGGAUGAUAUUCUGUUGGUUCUGAACUCUAGAGAUAGAUUUAGAGCUAGCAUUCACUGUGGGUAUCCGUUCUUAAUGCUUUCGUGUUUGAGCGGCGCGCGAGAGAUCGCCGACGCGAGAAUACGGAUGUUCUCGUGACUUUGCGUUAGAGAUAACCUUAGUUGUGAGAUGAUCUCGUUUGUGCUCCAGAGAUGGACGCUUAUGUGAGAGAUACGUGAUGACAUAGAUGAGUAUCGUAGGUUGAGUAUAAUGGGUUGGUAAGUGUAUGUUUGUGAAGAGUGAAUAUAUUUACAUUCCUGAUAAGUUAUUUCUCUUCUAAGAAUGUGUUUAUUCUUUUCCUGUCUAUAUCUUUGUUUACUUUUUUCUCAUUCAAACCCAAGCUCGAAACCGUAGAAACUAUUGAAUGGCAUCUCUCCAUCUCUGAGGACGAUAAUUCCCGGAUCAAUAUUUCCAAAUCUUUUUUGUUGCUUGCCCUAUACUGCAUUCAACAAAAUGGCGCCGUUGCCGGGGAUGGUUGUGAUUGC